rnacentral:rRNA from 1 species
UCCGGGGGGGGCAAGCGUUGUUCGGAAUUACUGGGCGUAAAGGGCGCGUAGGCGGCCAUCUAAGUCAGACGUGAAAUCCCUCGGCUCAACCGAGGAACUGCGUCUGAUACUGGAAGGCUUGAAUCCGGGAGAGGGAUGUGGAAUUCCAGGUGUAGCGGUGAAAUGCGUAGAUAUCAGGAAGAACACCCGUGGCGAAGGCGGCUCUCUGGAACGCAACUGACGCUGAGACGCGAAAGCGUGGGGAGCAAACAGG